AAAAGGUUUUCCAGCUUCUGAGCAGCCUGGAAGGAGUUUUUCACCGAGGACUCCCAUGCCAGCCACUUAAAAAAACCCAGCUGGCAGUGCCGGGGUCCCAGUGGCGGGUUAUAAUGUGCCGGGAGGAGGUGGCGGACAUGCACCCGCAUCCCCGUGGUGCCCUGCCGCAGGUGUGGGGCAGCAGGCUCAGCCAUGGGAGUCCCCGGGUACAUCAAGGCUGCCAAAGGCACAUGACAACUGUACAGUCCUGGAGACAUGGCCAGCAGUGAGAUAUGGGCAGAGCUGGCAUACUGCCAGCACGGGCACCACUGCGUGCCCUUUCCCUAGGCACAGGUAGCCACAUGCUGCGGACAAACCUGCCCCUGCUCCCCACUACUGAGCCAUGCAAAGCAGGGCUGGUUCCCAGGGUACACUGCAGUGCUGCACAUUGCUCCUUGCUAAAAGCAUAGUGGCCCCUCCCCGGGGAUGUGCAUGGGGCUGGGGCGCUGCCCGGUGGGGACAGCAGCAAAGCAGAGGCUUCGCAAAGGCGUAGGGUGACAGGAGGGUCCCUGCAGCACCUCCCCUGGAUCCAGGUCCCUGUGGCUGUUCCCACACUUGGCCGGGGCUCAGGGUUGGCCCAGCCAUGGCUGGUAUGGAGAUAACCCCAUGCCUGCUCCCAAACCUCCUUCCUGAUAGAUGCUGCAAGCUUGGGGCACCAUGGGACUUUUUUCCCCACUUUCCUACCAAGAACCGCAAGCAGCAGACAGGGGAGCCCCGCACAUUGCACAGAGUCAUUUCUGUCCCUGUUCCCAGCUGGGUGCACCCGGCUGGGGGGGCCAGUGCCGGAUGCAGGAGCUCAUGCCAGAGAUGCGCCAUCUGCUUCUUGUCAGGCUGCUGGGAGCGCCACGGCUGCCGGGGCCCAGCAGCAGGAUGCGGUUGUGAUAGAUGGUCUGUUUAUCACGUUUCGGCUCUGCUCAGGAAGUUAGAGUUCGCCUGCGAAAGACAUUUUUGGGCUUGGCCACUCCCUCCAUCCUCCCUCUCCUCCUGCUUCCCCCUGGAUCCUCACCCUUGGGCAAAGGUCCAGGAGGCACCCCUCUUACAGCCCCUGGCCCUUGCUCAUGGGAAGGACUGGGCUCAGUCCUGCCACUCUGGGAAGGGAUUGGGCUGAUGUCUGAGGUCAGGAAGCUGAGGCUGAAGCCUUCCCACAGGUGCUGGCCAGCUGCAGGCUCUACUCUGAUGGGGACUGGGACAGGGACAGGGGUGGGGAGGGACAGCAGGAGCUUUUACACACUCCUCAUCCCCCGGGGUGGGGAAGGGGCAGAGGGCAGGCAGGGAUGCACUGGGUGAUGCCCACAGCCCCAAACUGUCCUGAGGUGUCCUGGCCCCACUGAGUGGCAGCCCUGCGCCCUGGGGGGAAUCCUGUCACACUCACCCUCUCGCCCAGCUCUGCACCAGCUUGUGGGAGGGGAACAUGGAUUUAGAGGCAGAACCCCCCCAACCUGUCCCUAUCCCUGUCUGUCCCUGCAGAGCUGGCGUCAGGCUGAUCUACCAAGCCCAGAUCUGUCCUGCCAUCGUGCUGGGGCUGGGCACAGCGGAUGCAGGCACAUGGCUUGGGGGAGGGGGGGAAGACCCUUUUCCCUGCACCCAGCCGAGCAGGCAGACACACAGCCUUGCCAUGACACGACCCAUGGAUGCACGGCAGCUGCAGUGAGGGUCACUGCAGCUCCUCCAUGUCUCCCAGCCCAAGGUGCAGUGCUGCAUCUCUGGUCAAUUGGGAGUCUGAGAUGAAGCACUGUAGCUCGGGAAGGGAGGAACUGUGCACCCUGGGGACCUCCAGGACCCUCCACCCGCUGGGAUGAGUCACAGAAGGAGAGCUGACCCCUUGCUACAGGAAAGGGCUCACCCCAAAACUCCAGAUUCCUGCAGAGAGCAAGGAGGGAGAGGAAGGUGGGGAGCCUUCUCCUUGCAGCAGAGGGACCCCUGUGUCUGCUUGGCACUAGUCGGAGGGGUCACACAGAAAUGUGGAAGCCUUCUGUGGUGGGGGGACAGCAGGGAUGCAGCAGCAGCACCUAUGAUCAGCCACCACGGAGCCCAGCCAGCGGUGAGGAUGCUCAGGGCUGGUGGAGAGCCCAGGUCGCCGUGCCCUCAGGGUCCAGUUUUCCCAGGAAUCCCUUAGGCGCUACGUUGGGGAUUCCUGGAAAUACUGUUCUUGGGGCCACGGCUCGGCGGCUGGAGAUGGCCCAUCCCACAGGGAGCCACAGCCUGCAGAAGAGGCGGUGACUGAGGUACGGGACCACUUGGGGGGCUGCGACUUGGAGGGGCAGCCCCCUGGCUACCCCAAACAUGGGGAGAUGGGCAACCCAGCCCAGGCAGCCCCAGCUGCCCCAUGCCGGGGGCGGGGGGGGAUGGAUGUCCCCAUGGGUCACCGCUCACUGCAAGAGGAUGCAGCUGGUGGGCAGAUGGCCUUGUCCACCGCUCCUGCCCUGCACAUGCCACCUAGCCAACCUGGGGUGAAUAAACAUCUUGCCUCCCAA